rnacentral:rRNA from 1 species
UACGGGAGGCAGCAGUGGGGAAUUUUCCGCAAUGGGCGAAAGCCUGACGGAGCAAUACCGCGUGAGGGAUGACGGCCUAUGGGUUGUAAACCUCUUUUUUCAGGGAGGAAUCAAUGACGUGUACCUGAAGAAUAAGCAUCGGCUAACUCCGUGCCAGAAGCCGCGGUAAGACGGAGGAUGCAAGUGUUAUCCGGAAUCACUGGGCGUAAAGCGUCUGUAGGUGGUUUAAUAAGUCAACUGUUAAAUCUUGAGGCUCAACCUCAAAAUCGCAGUCGAAACUAUUAGACUAGAGUAUAGUAGGGGUAAAGGGAAUUUCCAGUGGAGCGGUGAAAUGCGUAGAGAUUGGAAAGAACACCGAUGGCGAAGGCACUUUACUGGGCUAUUACUAACACUCAGAGACGAAAGCUAGGGUAGCAAAUGGGAUUAGAUACCCCAGUAGUCCUAGCUGUAAACAAUGGAUACUAGAUGUUGAACAGAUCGACCUGUGCAGUAUUAAAGCUAACGCGUUAAGUAUCCCGCCUGGGAAGUAUGCUCGCAAGAGUGAAACUCAAAGGAAUUGACGGAAUCACGAAUUC